rnacentral:rRNA from 1 species
UACGUAGGGGCAAGCGUUGUCCGGAAUCAUUGGGCGUAAAGAGCUCGUAGGCGGUUUGUCACGUCUGCUGUGAAAUCCCGAGGCUCAACCUCGGGCCUGCAGUGGGUACGGGCAGACUGGAGUGCGGUAGGGGAGAAUGGAAUUCCUGGUGUAGCGGUGGAAUGCGCAGAUAUCAGGAGGAACACCGAUGGCGAAGGCAGUUCUCUGGGCCGUAACUGACGCUGAGGAGCGAAAGCGUGGGGAGCGAACAGG